UACGUAGGGUGCGAGCGUUACUCGGAAUUACUGGGCGUAAAGCGUGCGCAGGCGGUGAUGUAAGACAGAUGUGAAAUCCCCGGGCUCAACCUGGGAACUGCAUUUGUGACUGCAUCGCUGGAGUGCGGCAGAGGGGGAUGGAAUUCCGCGUGUAGCAGUGAAAUGCGUAGAUAUGCGGAGGAACACCGAUGGCGAAGGCAAUCCCCUGGGCCUUAACUGACGCUGAGGAGCGAAAGCAUGGGGAGCGAACAGG
rnacentral:rRNA from 1 species